rnacentral:misc_RNA from 1 species
UAACCUUUAUAGGAGUCAGCCGCCUAAGGCAGGGCAGAUGACUGGGGUGAAGUCGUAACAAGGUAGCCGUAGGAGAACCUGCGGCUGGAUCACCUCCUUUCUAAGGAAAACGGAUGGAUGGAGAGCAGAAAUGCUAAGAGAAAUCCAUCAGUUACGGAAGCACACUGCAAAAGAAACUUUGUUCAGUUUUGAGAGUAUCAGCUCUCACUUGUUCGUUGAAAACUGAAUAUCUUAAUUCCAAGAAAAAACCGAAAAUCCUUGGAAACAAUGGAAAC